UACGUAGGGGGCGAGCGUUAAUCGGAAUUACUGGGCGUAAAGGGUGCGUAGGCGGUUCGCCAAGUCCGUUGUGAAAGCCCCGGGCUCAACCUGGGAAUGGCAGUGGAAACUAGGGGACUGGAAUCUGGCAGAGGGGGGUGGAAUGCCGCGUGUAGCAGUGAAAUGCGUAGAGAUGCGGCGGAACACCGAUGGCGAAGGCAGCCCCCUGGGCUGAGAUUGACGCUCAGGCACGAAAGCGUGGGGAGCAAACAGG
rnacentral:rRNA from 1 species